GACGAACGCUGACGGUGUGCUUUAGACAUGCAAGUCGAGCGAGAAAGCCCUUCGGGGUUAGUAAAGCGGCGAACGGGUGAGUAACACGUGGGCAAUCUGCCCCUCGCAGGGGGACAACCGGGGGAAACUCCGGCUAAUACCCCGUAAGCUAUGUGGAUCGCAUGGUUCAUAUAGGAAAGGUAGCUUCGGCCAUCCGGCGAGGGAUGAGCCCGCGGUACAUUAGCUAGUUGGUGGGGUAACGGCCUACCAAGGCGGCGAUGUAUAGCUGGUCUGAGAG
rnacentral:rRNA from 1 species